UGAUUUGGUCAGAAUGAGGCUGUUUGGGUGAUUAAAUGAUUUUUCUUUUUUAGCAUAGCAGUCACAAUUCAGCAUUGUUAUGAAAGAGGGAGCCCUGAGGAGAUCAAAGGCUUAAACUUCUUUCGAGUUCUCUUUGCUGGUGUCACAAGGCACAGUAUGACAGACCCCUGUUGCCAGAAUCUACUCCCAGGAGGAUUCAUAGCAGAGAACAUGACAAUCUAAGACUAAUCAGAUACAAUGCUAGUCCAUUGGAAGGCUUGACCAGCAGUAACACAUCUGGCUUGUGGACUUUGCUACUUCUCCUUUGCUACUUUUUCAGUGUCACAAUCUUCAGAAGUUGGUGACUUCCUGUGUAAGAAGGCCUUGAGCCUUCCAUUUAGUUCUUGUGUUUGCUGGGCUUGGGUUGUUCUGUGUCUUCUGCCAGCUUCUCUGGCCUUGGAUUAGCCACCACCAGUGCCCAUCAUGGUAACAUGGCUGAGGGCACUAAGAUAAGUGUGCCAGAGCUGCCAUGGGCUUGCAGAAAGAUGAAAGCAAAUGGAUCCUGGAAACAAACAACGCUUAAGAUCAAAGUACAUUCCUUUGGAGUCAACAGGGAUGCAGUUUUGGAGAGUCCAAGGGUAAGUGUUUGGUACAACCAAAACUGGAACGACCUCAUCACCCGCAACUCAAGAGCGUGAGUGUGUUGAGUUUGUGAAUUCAAAGUAGUUUAAAAAAAGGGGGAGGAGGGAAGUUACUUUUUCCCCCAGAGAAAACAGUUGACGUUGUAUGUAAUAAUUCUUGCAUGUCAUCAUUGAUAACUGUGUAACAUUCGUUUUCUGAUACUCCUUGUUUUUAGGACAGCUUGGUGUGACUGAUCACAGGGAAGAUACAAAUAGAGUAUCUUCACAUGCUGUAACUGAGUUCAUUAACACCACAGCAAACCAGACAUUUAAAAUAUUUUAGUAUAUUUAUAGUAGAUGCUAAUUCUGCCAUGUAUUACAUUAUGGCAGUACUGUGUUUACAUGCAUGUUGUGAAAUCUGAAAAUAGUUAAAAUUCUAGGCCUCUCAUAGUGGCUUUGUCUGAUAUUUUGUCUUUGCAAAUGGGGAAAAAGGAACACAUAAUAGCUUAACUCAGACUGUAUACAUGUAAAAAGAAAUAAUUCAUUCUUUUAAUUAUGCCACAUCUGAUUCAAAGAAUAUGACGCAACUGCAUUGUUGUCCUAUCUCCUUUCCCACUUUGAAACAUUUAGUCAACAUUUUAGAUAAAUAUGUCAAGCAGAAAAGUCACCUUAAAAAUAAAACUAUGACAAAGGUAAAAGAAAGUCCUCUCAUGACUGUUUUAACACCAAAAAGUUAAGUGAUGGCAAAAAUUAUCUUUUCAGUUUAUUUGUGAGAUUUAUAGAUUGCUAAAAAGUCAAUUUAUGUGAUCACUUCAAGAGGUGGGGAAGGAAACCUCACUUCAUUUUUCUGGAGGACAUGCAUUUAAGCAGAAGAGUGUGACCAAGUUUUCAAAUCAGAAAGUGGCAUUAUUUAUGCCAACGGCGUCUCUUAAAUCCAAACAAGAAUGUGAUUAAUUAUGACAAAAAUAAUAGAAAUAAUGCAAGAGUUAGCACAAACUUAAAAAACCAAAAGACCAAAUGGGACCUCUGAGAGUUGUUCCUUAGCAUUAGGACGUGAUGCAGAAAACCUGCUUGUCCUGUUAGUUUAUUCGGAGUGUUUUUAAGACAUAGUGAUGUUCAUAUGCAAGGGCAAUGGAACUGAACGUGUGCCAGCUUCUUCCUAAUUAUAGUUUGCAGCCUGAGGUAUUAAGCUGAAUUGAAACUGCACGUGGUUUAAAUUAAUAUGUUAAACUCUGAACUGUGGUGCACCAGGUGCUGGCAUGUUUGAUUUAGCAAUGAUUCCUGCAAAACAGCAAUCUUCAGCGGGAAGAUGAGUUGAUAGCUAAUUCUCAGUCUUGUUUUUCAAAGCCUCUUCUCAGAUUUUGUCCCACAGCAAUAUUUCAGUUUUGAUGCCAUGGAUUUUACGUCGGUAAUAAAGGAGUUGUUUGAAAAUAACAUUGCAGCGAUAAGAAAAAUAUUUUAUUGUUUUUCAGUGUCUGUGUCCUUAAUUUUUUUCUUCACAGCUGAUUCAGUGUCAACUCUGCCAGUGUUUAAUUUUCGAGAAAAUGUAUGUGCUAUAUUUCAUAUUUGUAGUUGAUUGGCAUAGGUAAUAAAUAAUUGUUAUAUAUGUGUAUGUAGAUAAAUAUUGCCUUUACCUAAGAAACUUCAUUUGGGAGACUUUAAAUACUGUUUAAACUCAGUAGAUAAAGUCUCUUAACAGUCUACAAAGGUAGUAAUCUAAUAGCAGGGAUGAGGUGUGUAAUCUCAGUGUUUCAGGAGAGGCUGACAACAACAAAGUAGAAAAAUUGGUCCUCUGUCACUUUUUUGCCUAAUAAUACCACCUUUAUUCACGGGUUUGCUUCUUGUGGUGUUCUUAUCAAAGCAUGACAAUGUUAUAAGCAAGUGAAAUAAAAAGAAUCAAGCUGCCUUGCUGCUGUUUUAAGAUGAUAUGGUUUCCUUCAAACUGAAUUACCAUAGAUAAUGUGGAAUGAAAACUUAAUAAGAAUUAAAAGCAUCUUCACCCCAUUUUCCUGAAUAGAACUUAAU